rnacentral:lncRNA from 1 species
UUUCUAGUUCUUGUUUUUCUUACAACUUCAAUUUUGUUCAUCAUCCCUGCUGCAGAAGUAAGCUGGUAAGGAGAACAGACUAAGGACUAGAAUUCACUAUCGCGAACCAGAAUCUAAAAUCAAGCCUGUUUUGUUUUGCAGGUUGAUAGGCCCCAACAUGGACCAUUAAAAAUACAUGAAUGCAGAUGGCUGAAUACAAGAACGUCACAGCUGUUCAUCCCAACACUAUUUGCAGGCGCAUGUCCUCAGCUGAGAUUAAGCCUCUGGAUGGCAGAGACUUUCCUUUCCAUCUUGUGGUCUGAUGCCAGUAAUUCGAGAAGGCACACCUUUGUGUGUGGAAGAAAUCCACAUCACCACUGUCCCAGAGUCAGACCAUCCUGUACUUGAUCCUGUCUAUACCAUCUACAAGCGGUGUGACCCUAGACUGGUUGAACAUAGGGUAACUGAAGAGUGGAAAGUGAAACCUCAGAUGAAGAGGGAUCACUGCACAAAUAUAUUUCUAGGAGCCAUGGUCAGGAUGACUACCCAAUGCUCAGAGAUAACUUACUUCAUGCCAAAAGCCAAAGGCAGCCACAAACAAUGAAGUCUAAACAGCUCUCUAAAGGUCACCAAGGUCAUAUAAUGACUUAGCAGGCACAAGCCAAAAACUCAAGCCCCUGCCAGUACAAGAGUCUUUCCUACAUGUCUCUUUCAAGAAGACAGGUGUGCAAUUAAUUCCGUCCCAUCACCAGGAAAACAGCCAGAGCCUCAGCCUUCCAUUUCUCAAGAAAACAUGAAGAAUAUGCAUUCCUCCAAUAAGAACUAGCUCAUCACUGGGAAGCCAGCUGCUUUAAAAAAGACACAGUAUGUUUUAUUUUUGAAGAGCUUUUCCAUUUCCGGGGAAAAUAAUGUAGCAUAGUGGAGGGAACAGCUGCUUCAGUUAAUAAAAUCUAAAUUAUCUUUGCCUGGAACCUGAUCACUAGUUUUAAGUUAGGAAGCUGGAUAUGUGACUAUUUCUCAUCUUAUGAUUUGAAUUCUUCCUUCUUGUGGCAGUAAUAAAAUUCAGUGUGUGUUUAUUUUAUUCUUCAUUUAGGUUAAUAACAAUACAUUCUUAAAUCGAAGACCUCAUAUUACAAACUAUAUAGUCAAACAAAUGGCGGUAAAUAACAUGAAAGUAAUUACAAAUCUGGAAUGUAUCUUGGCACUUUCAAUUAACCUCAUUGCCUACUGUCUUCCACUUAAUAUACAAAUAUCGCAUCUUAUGUUUAAUGAUUAGCAUUUUAUGUCUAAGGAAUAUUUAAAAAUAUGGAAGACUUAUUAUAAUGAUUGAAAAAGGAAUGCAUUUUAAUAAAGUUUUAAAACAUCAUUUCAAAUCAUUUAAUUAAUCCUAUAACCGGUGAGUUUUAGGACAUGAAACAUUUAGUUUCACUUGAUUCUUAGAGACACAGGCAGGGAAACAGAAAACAAAAUUCAGAGCAUGUGAUAUGAUCUCAUUUUCUUCCAUGUAUAAGAAAUCAUCAAAAUAUUGAUUAUGUCUAGAUGGUGGGAUUUCAUUUCAUCAUAUAUUUGCCUACAUAUUUUAUAAAAUAAAAACAAUUACUUUUACAAUUUGAAAAUAAGUUUAUGCCUCUAUCA